GUGCUUGUUUUGGCAGCACAUAUACUAAAAUCAGAAUGAUACAGAGAAGAUUAGCAUAGCCCCCACACAAAGAUGACAUAUAAAUUUGAUUUUACAAUUUUAU
ensembl:snRNA U6 U6 spliceosomal RNA